AUAUAUAUAUAUAUAUGCAUAUAAAUAUAUGUUUUAGAAAAUACAUUCAUAUCAGCUAUUGAAAGAUCAUUCUUUGUCGUGUUGGUUGAGCUUUAAUGUCCUUUUUCAUUUUAUAUUUGUGUUAUCCUUUUUGUUUGUUAUGUUGCUGAUAUUUUAGGUGUUAAUACUUCAAUUUAUAUUCUAUCACAGGAUGAAUAUGGGAGAAGUGAAGUAAUACAGGGGAGGAUGUGAAGAGGCACAGCUAGCAAGUAUGUGCCAUCCCACAGUUUACAAACAAAUACAAUGCCUCAUUGUGCUGAUGCUGCUGGUGUCAAACUCUGCAGAAAUGCUAAUCCCAUUCUACAGCAGAAUCCACUGUGUACAGAGAUUGUCAUACCUGGGUGAUGUUGUGCUAAUCCUUGCAGUUCAACAGGGAUCAAAACUCCAAACCACCAUAGAAGCCUAA
rnacentral:lncRNA from 1 species